rnacentral:rRNA from 1 species
UACGUAGGUGGCAAGCGUUGUCCGGAUUUAUUGGGUUUAAAGGGUGCGUAGGCGGCUCUUUAAGUCAGUGGUGAAAUCCUUCAGCUCAACUGAAGAAUUGCCAUUGAUACUGAAGAGCUUGAGUACAGACGAGGUAGGCGGAAUUUAUGGUGUAGCGGUGAAAUGCAUAGAUACCAUAAAGAACACCUAUUGCGAAGGCAGCUUACUAGGCUGUAACUGACGCUGAGGCACGAAAGCGUGGGGAUCAAACAGG